rnacentral:lncRNA from 1 species
UAUGGAACAUAGAUUUGCUUAUGAUUUGUAAUUUAUAUCCUUGUCGAAAGAACCAGCUACACCAUUGCAACAAUACUGAUACAUACUUAUGUAAUCUAUGUCCUUGUCAAAGGUAUCAGCUACACCUUUGCAACACUGACUUAGUUACGCUAGUUAGACGUGUUAGUAGUAACAUAUACAAAGCUGUUACUUGUUAUAUAGGUGGCGCCAAAAACGUUUCCGGCCGUUUCAUUUUGAAAGUUUCAGUUGCGCGCCAACCGCCGUGCAGUGAUGUGGCCUCCUGCGCACUUCCGUGAAAAUGGCUUUCAUCAGGAGCGAAAGCUCCAGCUUGCAAGCAAGGGUCGCUACACUGAAGACAGCAAACUGCAGAAACUCAAGAAUUCUAAAAAUGAAAAAGCACCUGAAUUCCAAGGGGCUAAUGAAUUUGAAUGCCCCUUAGAUUUGAAUGGGUACAGUGUACCCGGUAAGUGAUGACGCUCAUUGCUUUUUCGCAUGCGUUAUUGCCCUUGCCCCUUGGGUCAUGAGUGUUAUCACCAUUGUGUGUGUAAUGUGUAUGUACCAUUUUAAAUACAUGACCUACUUUCAGUAA